AUUGAACGCUGGCGGCAGGCCUAACACAUGCAAGUCGAGCGGUAGCACAGGGAGCUUGCUCUCGGGUGACGAGCGGCGGACGGGUGAGUAAUGUCUGGGAAACUGCCUGAUGGAGGGGGAUAACUACUGGAAACGGUAGCUAAUACCGCAUAACGUCGCAAGACCAAAGUGGGGGACCUUCGGGCCUCAUGCCAUCAGAUGUGCCCAGAUGGGAUUAGCUAGUAGGUGGGGUAAUGGCUCACCUAGGCGACGAUCCCUAGCUGGUCUGAGAGGAUGACCAGCCACACUGGAACUGAGACACGGUCCAGACUCCUACGGGAGGCAGCAGUGGGGAAUAUUGCACAAUGGGCGCAAGCCUGAUGCAGCCAUGCCGCGUGUGUGAAGAAGGCCUUCGGGUUGUAAAGCACUUUCAGCGGGGAGGAAGGCGGUGAGGUUAAUAACCUCAUCGAUUGACGUUACCCGCAGAAGAAGCACCGGCUAACUCCGUGCCAGCAGCCGCGGUAAUACGGAGGGUGCAAGCGUUAAUCGGAAUUACUGGGCGUAAAGCGCACGCAGGCGGUCUGUCAAGUCGGAUGUGAAAUCCCCGGGCUCAACCUGGGAACUGCAUUCGAAACUGGCAGGCUAGAGUCUUGUAGAGGGGGGUAGAAUUCCAGGUGUAGCGGUGAAAUGCGUAGAGAUCUGGAGGAAUACCGGUGGCGAAGGCGGCCCCCUGGACAAAGACUGACGCUCAGGUGCGAAAGCGUGGGGAGCAAACAGGAUUAGAUACCCUGGUAGUCCACGCCGUAAACGAUGUCGAUUUGGAGGUUGUGCCCUUGAGGCGUGGCUUCCGGAGCUAACGCGUUAAAUCGACCGCCUGGGGAGUACGGCCGCAAGGUUAAAACUCAAAUGAAUUGACGGGGGCCCGCACAAGCGGUGGAGCAUGUGGUUUAAUUCGAUGCAACGCGAAGAACCUUACCUGGUCUUGACAUCCACAGAACUUUCCAGAGAUGGAUUGGUGCCUUCGGGAACUGUGAGACAGGUGCUGCAUGGCUGUCGUCAGCUCGUGUUGUGAAAUGUUGGGUUAAGUCCCGCAACGAGCGCAACCCUUAUCCUUUGUUGCCAGCGGUCCGGCCGGGAACUCAAAGGAGACUGCCAGUGAUAAACUGGAGGAAGGUGGGGAUGACGUCAAGUCAUCAUGGCCCUUACGACCAGGGCUACACACGUGCUACAAUGGCAUAUACAAAGAGAAGCGACCUCGCGAGAGCAAGCGGACCUCAUAAAGUAUGUCGUAGUCCGGAUUGGAGUCUGCAACUCGACUCCAUGAAGUCGGAAUCGCUAGUAAUCGUAGAUCAGAAUGCUACGGUGAAUACGUUCCCGGGCCU
rnacentral:rRNA from 1 species